rnacentral:tRNA from 1 species
GCCCCAAUGGCCUAAUGGGUAAGUCAUUAGCCUCCUAAGCCAGAGAUUGUGGGUUCGAGCCCCACCUUGGGUG